rnacentral:tRNA from 1 species
GGGGCAGUAGUUUAGUGGGAAAACACUGGAAUCGCACUCCAGAGACCGAGGGUUCAACUCCCUCCUGCUCCAC